CCUCUGCGUAGGCCAUUGCUCUUGGGAGAGCCGAGGGCCAGAGUGGCUGCAGGUUUAAGUGGAAGGUUCGUUCUCUCUGGAUCUCAGUUUUCUUAUCUGGGAAGUAGGGAGUGUGCUCAGCUUGGGUCUGGGGUGAGGAUCCAUUAGGAGGACGAAUCUGAAAAUGUUCUGAGACCACAGAGUACCAGGAAAGGCCAGCUUGCACCUACCUACGGAGGCACGUGUGCCCGGUGUGGGCCGUGUGCGCUCCCGCACAUCCCUGGCUCUUACAUAGGCAGUGUGUGGAAGGGAAGAUGAGCCUCAUUUUGCAGAAGACACUGAAGGAUAAGAAGAAAAUAAUACAAGGCCUGAACAUUCAAGCUUUGCCAGUUCCUCCCAGAUGCACCCCAUCAUUCCAUGGAUGAAGAUAUGGAAAAGACAAGAGUGGGGUGCCAUGAGUGUACAGACUAGACAUUCUGUGAUCCCAUCUGCGCCCUUGAAGACUCACAGCACGAUCAUCUCAGUCCCUUGGUAUGAGUCAGAGAGCCUCCCCUUGCACCCCAGGCCAUCUGUCCAGCCUUCAAGCUUUUGCCCCUGCCACUGGCAGUGCCUACCUGUCCUUCAUUUCCCAGCUCAGCCCUGAAUCUACAGUGCCAACCCCUGAAGAUGUCCACAGCACUGCCUUCCUGACACCUGCCUGACUCAGCCUUGUCUCCUUGGUCCUCUUGUCUGGACUCAGUGGCUUCUGAUCCCUUCCCUUGCUGCUCCACUGCUCCUUUGCUCUGGGGAGGUCUUCACCUUCAACACAGCAAGACUCAUGGCUCAUGGCUGUCUCAGUUGCUUCUGCCGAAGAGCUCAGUCCUGUCUCCCCAGAGUAACUGUGAGCUUCUUGGGAAAGGAAACACAUCUUGGAGUUCCCUGGCUCUUCCACUGUGCCUGGUAAGGUUAGCUGUAUGCUCGGGAAACACCCUUGGGUUACAGGAGGAGUGAGCGACAACAGGAACCCGCAGCAGGGUCUGUGCUGAAAAGUUGUUUUAUCUUCUGUCUGGAAGGCAACACAGCUGCUACCUCGGUUCAGGUUACCCAAUGGUUCACUUAUUCUGGAAAGACUUUGCCUCCAGGGACUGGUUGGCAAAAUCUGGAGACAAUUUUUCAAUUGUCACAGGCGGUACAGAAGGUACUAUGGGCUUCCAGAAGGCAGAACCAGGGUGCCACUGACCUUUGAAGCAUGGGACAGUUUCUACAGUGCGAAACUACCCAGCAGACAUGUCAAUGAUCUAGAGAUUGGGGAAGUCUGAGACACAUUCCCCCUCAGGUUCUCAGGCUGAUGCUGAGAGUUAAUUUGCAUAUGUGUCCCUAGGCACUUUGCAAUGCACAAAAGAAGACUGGAGAAAGUUAUUCACUUGCCAAGAAGCGAGCGAUGGGACCCAGGAACACAAGCAUUAGAAGGAUUUGACUCUGCCUGUCUGGGAGGACACAUCUGCACUACUCAGUGUGACCUGAGCAAGGGUCAGGAGGCUGGAGUGAUGCCUAGGGUUGUGUAACUACUUCCUUCAAAGGGAAGCAUCCUCUCAGGACACAAAAAGCAACAAGAGUCAUAGGCCUCUGCCCAAGGUUACAUAAGCAGGAAGCAACUGCUGGACAGGGGAACAUUUGGGUGGAGCUGGCUGCAAGAUGUGCGUGGAGUGCCAGGGAUUCAGCCUCAUCUGUACUGGAGUGAGCUUUCCAGGCAGAAAGCUGCUUUUUGGUCCCCUACGCUCCUGUGACAAACACCAAUAAACUCAUUGCUCCGCCAA